UGAACAACCCUUGCAUGGUAAGUUUAUCAUCAUUGUACUCAUUAAAGUGGACGAUGGAUUCCAUGUUGACUUCCCCACUGUAGUACAGACCCGCGUACUUAACUGCAUCCCCAGCUAUGGCUGUUUGUCUGGUGGAGGGAUAGACAUCAUAUUCAUGGUCCGUACAUUCGAACGUGCAAUGUGAGCCCGGUUGGUUCCUGUCCGUGCACGUUAUGUGUCCGUGGGGCAUCUGGUUUUGGGGUGGGCACGUUUGGUCUGUUGAGGAAGACCAUUAUUUGGUAUGGAUGCGGGGGGCCGGAUCAACUGCUUGCUCAGAAGAUCCAAAUAAUCAUCAUCAAGAUAUUGAUCCAACAUCAGUUCAUCGCAGAUCUUCCUGACUUCCGAUGCCACCAUC